AGGCUCGGACAAAGCUUCUGGAGUGAAGAUAUAUCCUCCCAUGUAGUAUCUUCAGGUAAGGAGUCUGACCAUUUGACUAAUAAUUGUGGAAUCUCCUUGUUCUUCCUGAAAAUGACCCUAUAUUCUAUAAAUGCAAAUGGAAAUAAAAUUGGUUUAUUUAAUAUAGAACAUUUAGGGAAUUUGGGAACUUCCUUCUCUGGGUCAUCUCCUUUGUAUAACUUGAGCUUGGAGAUGUGGAAAAUAGGGUGAAUCUUUCCUCCCUCAGGUAGUUGUAAUUUAUAAGCCACCACAUUUAUCUUCUUGAUGAUUUUAAAUGGCCCAAAAUACCUCAUACCCAACUUUUAGUUGACUUUAAGAGGUACUGAUUUUUGUCUGUAUGGUUGUAGUCUGACAAAAAUCCAAUCAUUCAAGUUCAAUUCAAUAUCCUCUCUUUUCUUAUCUGCCUUGUUCUUCAUUCUUGUCUGUGCAGCCAUUAAGUUCUUCUUCACACUUUCUAGCAAAGUUUCCCUUUCACACAGAUCCACUUCAACUGCGGAUACUGAAGCCUCCGAUGAAUUGAAAUGUGGGAUUAUAGGUGCUUCCCUCCCAUAGAGCACUUUAAAAGGAGACAUUCCUAUAGAUGAAUGAAAUGCAGAAUUGUACCAUAAUUCUGCCCAGGGCAGCAUUUUCAGCCAAUUUUUAGGGUUGUCAUGUACAGAUGCUCUGAGGUACAUUUCUAUAACCUUGUUUACAAUUUCAGUUUGACCAACACUCUGUGGAUGGUAUGCAGAAGAGAAACACAGUGUUGUACCACUCAGUCUAUGAAUUUCCUUCCAGAAUUUAGAUGUAAAUAUCUUAUCUCUAUCUGAGACAAUAGUAGAAGGGAAUCCAUGCAGUUUUAUAAUAGUUUGAACAAACAAUUCAGCCACCAUGGUUGCUGUGAAAUCAGUAGGUAGAGCCCCCAAAUGACAGAAUUUAGAAAAUCUGUCUACCACUACCAUAAUGACAGUUUUUCCUUUAACUUUGGGCAAAUGAGUGAUGAAAUCCAUGGAGAUGUC
rnacentral:lncRNA from 1 species